AUGCAUUCAGGCAGCCUUGAGAAAGUGGGUUCGCUGAGGAGACGGACGCUGUCUCGAGGAAUGAGCGAAGAGGAGUCUCUAAGACACAUUAUCAGAGACGCAGAAGAAUCGAGCAGACACCUGUCACGCAGCGAUAGCAGAUAUGGAUCAUUAAAAAGAGGACAAAGACAAGAAAGCCAUAGUGAAGAUGAUCUACUUACUGAAAACGUAGAAAUGACGGAGCUGAGAGCGAGCUACGAGGACUGUCUGCAGGAGGUGCGGACCCUGGAGCUGCAGCAGGAGGCUCUUCUGUUCCAGGUGGACUGUCUUCAGGACGUCCUCGAGGGCACGGAGGAGAUGCUCGCUGAGGCCCAGAGAGACAAUCACAAUCUCACCAUGGAGCUGGAGCGAGAACGAGCGAUGAGGAGGAAGUCGGAGGACAUGCUUGCCUCAUUAAAGCAGGAGCUGGAGAGGUUAAGAGAGGAAAGAAGCAGCGAGCUGUUUCAGUCGAGGCCGGCGGGGCCCGUCUGCCUCCUGGAGGGGACAUCAGUGGACCGAGACGAACAUCCGCUCGCACACAGCGAAGGCACCUCCGUGGAUCCGAGCACGAGCCAGCUCUUACAGCUGAAGACAGCGGUCAGCCAGACCCUGAGUGUGUCAGUGUUGCGCAGUCAGAAGCCUGGUGCUCAGGGUGGAGAUGAUUACGACGAAAGCAGCGGCUAUGAAGACGCUCCGUCCGAGUUCUCGCCCAGUCCGUCCACUCCAGACACGCAGCCGGACGGAGCUCUGCUGGACAGCGAGGCUGAAGAGGGAGGAGUUGGGAUGAGUGACUCCGAGUCUGGCCUCUCUAAAAGUUCAGAUUCUUGUGCUCUCUCUUAAAUUAUUCUAGUUCUGUAAAACGAUUAAUCACAUCCGAAAUAAAAGGUUUUGUUUACAUAAUAUAUGUGUGUGU
ensembl:lncRNA